AAACUAACAAGGAUUCCCCUAGUAACGGCGAGUGAAGUGGGAAAAGCUCAACUUUGUAAUCUGUCAGCUUCGCUGUCCGAGUUGUAGUCUCGAGAAGUGUUUUCCGCGCUGGAUCGUGUAUGAGUCUGUUGGAAUACAGCGUCAUAGAGGGUGAGAACCCCGUUCGUGACACGACUACCAGUGCUUUGUGAUACGCUUUCGAUGAGUCGAGUUGUUUGGAAAUGCAAGCUCAAAUUGGGGUGGUAAAUUCCAUCUAAAGCUAAAUAUUGGCGAGAGACCCGAUUAGCAAACAAGUUACCCGUGAGGGAAAGAUGAAAAGCACUUUUGGAAAGAGAGUUAACAGUACCGUGAAAUUUGUUUGAAAGGGAAACCGCCUUGAAGUCAGACGUGCGUUUUGUUUGCGAAUUUUCAAGCUCCGGUUUUCGCCGGAAGUGUAAUUUUCCGUACCUUAUUUGCCAGGCCCAAGCAUUCGUUUUUUUUGCNAGCCCGAUUAAAGUUUUUAGGGAAAGUAGCGCUCCGGCCGUGUUAAUAG
rnacentral:rRNA from 1 species